rnacentral:lncRNA from 1 species
CUCAGCAGAUUUGCCACCCACAGCGUUGGCCACAUUCUGCCAGCGGUCGGGGGUGUCCCUGUCAUAUAAGGCUAGAGCCUUUUCAAACAGUUUGUUUUGCUUUGGGGUCCAUGAGCCAGAGCUCUUGAGAGAGGUUGAUGCCAUGGGUCACUUCAGAGGAGAUUACAAACCAAGUCUGUCUAAAAGAUGACAAAAGGUGAUUAGAAAUAAUUGGGAGAUAGGGCUUCAAUCUUCUAACUUAGAAAAAGGCCUAAAGGAAGGGUACUUGAAAGAAGAGAGGGAGCUGAGUUGG